rfam:Gossypium arboreum cultivar AKA8401 contig_3021_3, whole genome shotgun sequence.
AACCCAUGGUGAGGGUACCUUCUCAAUAGGUCCUUGUAUCUCUCCCAUGCAUCAUAAAGAAUUUCUAGAUCCCUGCACAAAAGAAGAGAUAUCAUUCCUCAAUUU